UACGUAGGGCGCAAGCGUUAUCCGGAAUUAUUGGGCGUAAAGAGCUCGUAGGCGGUCUGUCGCGUCCGUUGUGAAAACUCGAGGCUCAACCUCGGGCUUGCAGUGGAUACGGGCAGACUAGAGUGCGGUAGGGGAGACUGGAAUUCCUGGUGUAGCGGUGAAAUGCGCAGAUAUCAGGAGGAACACCGGUGGCGAAGGCGGGUCUCUGGGCCGUAACUGACGCUGAGGAGCGAAAGCGUGGGGAGCGAACAGG
rnacentral:rRNA from 1 species